rfam:Thecamonas trahens ATCC 50062 unplaced genomic scaffold supercont1.66, whole genome shotgun sequence.
GCCGUUGUGGCCCAGCUGGUUAGGGCAUCUCCUUCCUAAGGAGAGGAUCGGGGGUUCGAAUCCCUCCAACGGUU